GCCACGCCUAGACCGGCCAGUCGAACGCGGGAACACCCUGAACCGCUGGCGUGGCGCACCUCAUCGGGG
rnacentral:sRNA from 12 species